GGAUGUGAGAGCGAUCUGGCUGCGACAUCUGUCACCCCAUUGAUUGCCAGGCUUGAUUCGGCUGAUCUGGCUGGCUAGGCGGGUGUCUCCUUCCUCCCUCACCACUCCAUGUGUGUCUCUCCCAGAGCUGCGUGCCCAGUCGGAGAGGAUGAACUUCCCCAGGUAGAGGAGGAGCUGUCUUCAGUCAAGCUGUGAUCCCUUGCUCUAACCUCCAAACAAGCUCCCAAACACCAGAACCGUAGUCUCGGAUGUCAUCAGUUGUCUAUUUACAUUUAACCUCGGGCAUAGAAGUGUGAGAUGUCUAGCGAGUGCCCUGGGCUCCGGACUUU
rnacentral:snRNA from 1 species